rnacentral:rRNA from 1 species
CGGCAACAGCUCAAAUUUGAAAUCUGGCUUUCGGGCCCGAGUUGUAAUUUGUAGAGGAUACUUUUGAUGCGGUGCCUUCCGAGUUCCCUGGAACGGGACGCCAUAGAGGGUGAGAGUCCCGUCU